rnacentral:rRNA from 1 species
AGAGUUUGAUCCUGGCUCAGAAUGAACGUUGGCGGCGUGGAUUAGGCAUGCAAGUCGAGCGAGAAGUUGCUGAUUGAAGCUUCGGCUGAUUUCAGUGAUGGACAGCGGCGGAAGGGAGAGUAACGCGUGGAUUAUCUGCCCCUGAGUUCGGGAUAGCCGUGGGAAACUGCGGGUAAUACCGAAUAAUAUCUCCGGAUCAAAGGUGUGAUUCCGCUUGGGGAUGAGUUCGCGUCCUACUAGCUUGUUGGUGGGGUAACGGCCUACCAAGGCUAUGAUGGGUACCGGGUGUGAGAGCAUGACCCGGCUCACUGGGACUGAGACACUGCCCAGACCCCCACGGGGGGCUGCAGUAACGAAUCUUCCGCAAUGGGCGAAAGCCUGACGGAGCGACGCCGCGUGUGGGAUGAAUUCCCUCGGGAUGUAAACCACUGUCAGGGCUAUGGACGCAAAUCGUAGUAAUAUCGCGAUGCGCAGACCUAACCCAGAGGAAGCCACGGCUAACUUCGUGCCAGCAGCCGCGGUAAUACGAAGGUGGCAAGCGUUGUUCGGAAUAACUGGGCUUAAAGAGCACGUAGGCGGCUGGUCUAGCAUCUUGUGAAAUCCCUCGGCUCAACCGAGGAAUUGCGAGGUGAACUGGCCAGCUUGAGCUGCAGAUGGGUGACUGGAACUCUAGGUGGAGUGGUGAAAUGCGUAGAUAUCUAGAGGAACGCCGGUGGUGAAAACGGGUCACUGGCUGCAUGCUGACGCUGAGGUGCGAAAGCGUGGGUAGCGAACGGGAUUAGAUACCCCGGUAGUCCACGCCGUAAACGAUGGGUACUAGGUUCGGGGGAGUUUGACCUUUUCCGGACCGAAGCAAAAGUACUAAGUACCCCGCCUGGGGAGUACGGUCGCAAGGCUAAAACUCAAAGGAAUUGACGGGGGCUCACACAAGCGGUGGAGCAUGUGGCUCAAUUCGAGGCAACGCGAAGAACCUUAUCCUGGGUUUGACAUGGUUGGAUGCCCUCGGCGAAAGCCGAGUAAGCUGCCUUCGGGUGAAACUUCCACAGGUGCUGCAUGGCUGUCGUCAGCUCGUGCUGUGAAGUGUUGGGUUAAGUCCCCUAACGAGCGAAACCUUUGUCUUUAGUUACCAGCGGGUUAUGCCGGGGACUCUAAAGAGACUGCCGGUGUUAAACCGGAGGAAGGUGGAGAUGACGUCAAGUCCUCAUGGCCUUUAUGCCCAGGGCUGCACACGUGCUACAAUGGUCAGUACAAACCGACGCAAUACCGCGAGGUGGAGCAAAUCGGAAAAAGCUGGCCCCAGUUCGGAUUGCAGGCUGCAAUUCGCCUGCAUGAAGUUGGAAUCGCUAGUAAUCGCAGAUCAGCAUGCUGCGGUGAAUAUGUUCCUGAGCCUUGUACACACCGCCCGUCAAGUCACGGAAGCCGGGAGUACCUGAAGUCCCGACAAUUCGGUCGGGCCGAUGGUAAGUUUGGUAACUGGGACUAAGUCGUAACAAGGUAACC